rnacentral:rRNA from 1 species
CCUACGGGGGCAGCAGUGGGGAAUAUUGGACAAUGGGCGAAAGCCUGAUCCAGCCAUGCCGCGUGUGUGAAGAAGGCCUUCGGGUUGUAAAGCACUUUCAGUGGGGAAGAAAGCCUUGGGGCUAAUACCCUCGAGGAAGGACAUCACCCACAGAAGAAGCACCGGCUAACUCCGUGCCAGCAGCCGCGGUAAUACGGAGGGUGCGAGCGUUAAUCGGAAUUACUGGGCGUAAAGCGCGCGUAGGCGGUCUGAUAAGCCGGUUGUGAAAGCCCCGGGCUCAACCUGGGAACGGCAUCCGGAACUGUCAGGCUAGAGUGCAGGAGAGGAAGGUAGAAUUCCCGGUGUAGCGGUGAAAUGCGUAGAGAUCGGGAGGAAUACCAGUGGCGAAGGCGGCCUUCUGGACUGACACUGACGCUGAGUUGCGAAAGCGUGGGUAGCAAACAGGAUUAGAUACCCGAGUAGUC